CAGAAAAUCACAGUACCUGAUGUGACAAAGCAGACUGAUGAUAUCAAUGAACACAUUCAACAGGAAAUCUCAGCACCUGACAUGACAACGCAGACCAGUGAUGGUAGUGACCACUUUCAGGCAACUGGGGGAAUGCUAAACAUAAGUGGGAAGACACAGAGGUUCGUGCGGUUGAAAAACACAUGAUGAAUUUCGUCCACACAUGCAAGGUACCUCAGAAAAUACACUUCCUUCAGUGCAUCAAGCAGAGCCAAAUGUACUUGAGGACAGAAACUG